rnacentral:rRNA from 1 species
GACGAACGCUGGCGGCGUGCUUAACACAUGCAAGUCGAGCGCCCCGCAAGGGGAGCGGCGGACGGGUGAGUAACGCGUGGGAACGUACCCUUUGCUACGGAAUAGCCUCGGGAAACUGGGAGUAAUACCGUAUGUGCCCUUCGGGGGAAAGAUUUAUCGGCAAAGGAUCGGCCCGCGUUGGAUUAGGUAGUUGGUGGGGUAAUGGCCUACCAAGCCGACGAUCCAUAGCUGGUUUGAGAGGAUGAUCAGCCACACUGGGACUGAGACACGGCCCAGACUCCUACGGGAGGCAGCAGUGGGGAAUCUUAGACAAUGGGCGCAAGCCUGAUCUAGCCAUGCCGCGUGAGCGAUGAAGGCCUUAGGGUUGUAAAGCUCUUUCAGUGGGGAAGAUAAUGACUGUACCCACAGAAGAAGCCCCGGCUAACUCCGUG